UUAAACCUCUUUAUUCCCUCAAGUAUACUAAAAGAUUUAAAAUUCAUUCAAAUAAGGUACAGCCUAUUUGAAACAGGAUACAACCUCUAAUAUCGGGUAACCUCCAACCUCUGUGAUCAAGUCGGCCUAAAAGCAGCCAUCUUUUAAAAAGCGUUACAGCCUUACCACACAUAUCUAUAAUUCCCGCCUAAACUAAAAACCCAUUAUCAAUACUGAAUGACUCCAUUCACCUAUGGAAGACCUUAUGUUAGAACUAGUAACGAGAAUAUGCCUUUCUCCAACAGUAAGUGUAAGCUGGAGUGAACCCCUCACCGGCAUUUACCGCCAAUGAAUUUAUAGUAGUAACUUCCUCAAGAAAAUGCUACUCUCACCAGCGUUAAUCUUACACUAGAACUCUCCUGGAAAGAUUAAAAGACUGGGAAG
rnacentral:rRNA from 1 species